rnacentral:lncRNA from 1 species
GGGAGUGAUCCCGGCCUCUGGAGCAGGGUGCUGGGGGAGCUUGGAGGUAACAGGCGGCGUCCAGGAGGUCAGAGACGCCAGGUUCACUUCCCUGCAGGUGGCUGGAAGCUCUUCAAGGGCCCGAUGAUAGGUCUGUGUCUUACCAAUACCAUCCUGGCUGAGGAGAUUGUCGAGUACAAGGUCAGAGACAGAGGAGCAGCCAGCAGUCGACAGUGCCCGGUGGAUGGAGCCAGCUGGCUCCGCCUGCACAGCGGGCUCCCCGGCCACGCUCGGUGUGUGGCCUCAGCAGUGCCCUCUGUCCUCGCUUCACCAAGCCGGGCAGGGCUCAUGCUCCUCUGUGUCCCCUGCGUCCAGAAGCCCUGGGCAGCACAGUGGUCCAAGUUACAGUCGUCCCAAGAACUGGAGAAGCCCAGGCCUUCACCAGGUCCACUUAUCCCGUGGUCGCUGAGCAUUUCCUCUCUUUCUGCACCAUCGGAUUUUUCCCUCUUCUUCUUCUGUACCAGGGAUCCAACUCGGGUCCUUGCGCUUGGGAGGCAGGCAGCAGAACCUCUGAGCUCCCUCCCCGGCCCUCCUUUUGUAACUCGGUUUAGGUUUGUACGUUCCAAGUGCUAACGCUGAUCAUUUCAUCAGUUGUUUGGAUAGAACGAUGAGGUCGUUUUGGAAGCACAGACAUUUGAAAAGACCCCCCACGUGUGUGGAAUCUGAAGAACCUGAAAAAAGAAGACAAGGAAGCAGAAGGAACACUCGUCAGAUAGGAGGACAGGAACGCGGGGCAGAGGGUGGAAAGGUAGGGGAGGGGCCACAUGGGCGUGAUCAAAGGAUGCUCUGAUAUCUGGAUUCAAAAUAUGCACUUCCGCUGCCCCCCAAACCUGAAACUAAUGGGAAGGCGGGGCCGGGGAAGGUCACGGGGAGCAAAAUGAUCCAAGUAAGUAACGUGCACGUCCGAAUCGGCC